GACGAACGCUGGCGGCGUGCUUAACACAUGCAAGUCGAACGGAAAGGCCCUGCUUUUGUGGGGUGCUCGAGUGGCGAACGGGUGAGUAACACGUGAGUAACCUGCCCUUGACUUUGGGAUAACUUCAGGAAACUGGGGCUAAUACCGGAUAGGAGCUCCUGCUGCAUGGUGGGGGUUGGAAAGUUUCGGCGGGUGGGGAUGGACUCGCGGCUUAUCAGCUUGUUGGAGGGGUAGUGGAUUACCAAGGCUUUGACGGGUAGUCGGCCUGAGAGGGUGACCGGCGACAGUGGGACUGAGAUACGACCCAGACUCGUCCGGAAGGCAGCAGUGGGGAAGAUUGCACAAUGGGCGGAAGCCUGAUGCAGCAACGCCGCGUGCGGGAUGACGGCCUUCGGGUUGUAAACCGCUUUCGCCUGUGACGAAUCGUGAGUGACGGUAAUGGGUAAAGAAGCACCGGCUAACUACGUG
rnacentral:rRNA from 1 species